rnacentral:rRNA from 1 species
GACGAACGCUGGCGGCGUGCCUAAUACAUGCAAGUUGAGCGCUGAAGGUUGGUACUUGUACCAACUGGAUGAGCAGCGAACGGGUGAGUAACGCGUGGGGAAUCUGCCUUUGAGCGGGGGACAACAUUUGGAAACGAAUGCUAAUACCGCAUAAAAACUUUAAACACAAGUUUUAAGUUUGAAAGAUGCAAUUGCAUCACUCAAAGAUGAUCCCGCGUUGUAUUAGCUAGUUGGUGAGGUAAAGGCUCACCAAGGCGAUGAUACAUAGCCGACCUGAGAGGGUGAUCGGCCACAAUGGGACUGAGACACGGCCCAAACUCCUACGGGAGGCAGCAGUAGGGAAUCUUCGGCAAUGGACGAAAGUCUGACCGAGCAACGCCGCGGGAGUGAAGAAGGUUGUCGGAUCGUAAAACUCUGUUGGUAGAGAAGAACGUUGGUGAGAGUGGAAAGCUCAUCAAGUGACGGUAACUACCCAGAAAGGGACGGCUAACUACGUG